rnacentral:rRNA from 1 species
GACGAACGCUGGCGGCGGGCUUAACACAUGCAAGUCGAACGGAAAGGCCCUGCUUGUGUGGGGUGCUCGAGUGGCGAACGGGUGAGUAACACGUGAGUAACCUGCCCUUGACUUUGGGAUAACUUCAGGAAACUGGGGCUAAUACCGGAUAGGAGCUCCUGCUGCAUGGUGGGGGUUGGAAAGUUUCUGCGGGUGGGGAUGGACGCGCGGCUUAUCAGCUUGCUGGUGGGGUAGUGGCUUACCAAGGCUUUGACGGGUAGCCGGCCUGAGAGGGUGACCGGCCACCUUGGGACUACGAUACGGCCCAGACUCCUACGGGAGGCAGCAGUGGGGAAUAUUGCCCAAUGGGCGGAAGCCUGAUGCAGAAACGCCGCGUGCGGGAUGACGGCCUUCGGGUUGUAAACCGCUUCAGCCUGUGACGCAGCGUGAGUGACGGUAAUGGGUAAAGAAGCACCGGCUAACUACGUG